AUUGAACGCUGGCGGCAGGCCUAACACAUGCAAGUCGAGCGAGCGGCGGACGGGUGAGUAAUGUAUGGGGACUGCCCGAUAGAGGGGGAUAACUACUGGAAACGGUAGCUAAUACCGCAUACUAUCGGAUAACCCAUAGGGGAUUAGCUAGUUGGUGAGGUAAUGGCUCACCAAGGCGACGAUCCCUAGCUGGUCUGAGAGGAUGAUCAGCAAAACUGGGAAUGAGACAAGGCCCAGAUCCCGCCGGAGGAAGCAGUGGGGAAUAUUGCACAAUGGGCGCAAGCCGGAUGCAGCCAGGCCGCGUGUAUGAAGAAGGCCCUAGGGUUGUAAAGUACGUUCAGUCGGGAGGCGUUACCGACAGAAUAAGCACCGGCUAACUCCGUGCCAGCAGCCGCGGUAAUUC
rnacentral:rRNA from 1 species